rnacentral:rRNA from 1 species
AUUGAACGCUGGCGGCAUGCUUUACACAUGCAAGUCGAACGGUAACAGGGUGCUUGCACCGCUGACGAGUGGCGAACGGGUGAGUAAUGCGUCGGAACGUGCCGAGUAGUGGGGGAUAACGCAGCGAAAGUUGUGCUAAUACCGCAUACGUACUGAGGUAGAAAGUGGGGGACCUUCGGGCCUCACGCUAUUCGAGCGGCCGACGUCUGAUUAGCUAGUAGGUGAGGUAAAGGCUCACCUAGGCGACGAUCAGUAGCGGGUCUGGGCGGAUGAUCCGCCACACGGGGACUGAGCCACGGCCCAGACUCCGUCGGGAGGCAGCAGUGGGGAAUUUUGGACAAUGGGCGAAAGCCUGAGCCAGCCAUGCCGCGUGUCUGAAGAAGGCCUUCGGGUUGUAAAGGACUUUUGUCAGGGAGGAAAUCCCUAGUGCUAAUAACACUGGGGGAUGACAGUACCUGAAGAAUAAGCACCGGCUAACUACGUGCCAGCCGCCGCAGUAA